rnacentral:rRNA from 1 species
GAUGAACGCUGGCGGCGUGCUUAACACAUGCAAGUCGAACGGAAAGGCCAGUGCUUGCACUGGUACUCGAGUGGCGAACGGGUGAGUAACACGUGGGUGAUCUGCCCUGUACUUUGGGAUAAGCUUGGGAAACUGGGUCUAAUACCGGAUAGGACAACUUUUUGGAUAUUGUUGUGGAAAGCUUUUGCGGUAUGGGAUGAGCUCGCGGCCUAUCAGCUUGUUGGUGGGGUAAUGGCCUACCAAGGCGUCGACGGGUAGCCGGCCUGAGAGGGUGUACGGCCACAUUGGGACUGAGAUACGGCCCAGACUCCUACGGGAGGCAGCAGUGGGGAAUAUUGCACAAUGGGCGCAAGCCUGAUGCAGCGACGCCGCGUGGGGGAUGAAGGCCUUCGGGUUGUAAACUCCUUUCGCUAGGGACGAAGCGCAAGUGACGGUACCUGGAGAAGAAGCACCGGCUAACUACGUG